AUGGUAGACGGAGCAAAGAAAAACAUCCAACCAAUUCUGUUAGACUGUUUUGGAAAGCUAGUGGCAAGGAAAGAAAGAAAGCGAAUGAAGACUAGAAGAACAUAUGACACAAUUGCUUCUCGACAACAUGAUAUAGUUGAAGCUCCGACUACGAGGGCUCGAGCGAGGCGGUUGGCCGACCAGUUUCGUGCUCUUCACACUAUCCGACGUAGAGGAUCUAGACCUGCUUCUAAACGGACGAGAGUUGAUGAUGAUGAGCAAGUUGAUGUUCAGGAAACAAUUCAGAAUGAUAUGUAG